CUACGGGAGGCACCAGUGAGGAAUAUUGCACAAUGGGGGGAACCCUGAUGCAGCAACGCCGCGUGGAGGAUGACGCAUUUCGGUGUGUAAACUCCUUUUAUAUGUCAAGAAAAUGACGGUAGCAUAUGAAUAAGCACCGGCUAACUCCGUGCCAGCAGCCGCGGUAAUACGGAGGGUGGCAAGCGUUACUCGGAAUCACUGGGCGUAAAGGACGCGUAGGCGGGUUGGAAAGUCAGGUGUGAAAUCCUACAGCUUAACUGUAGAACUGCACUUGAAACUUCUAAUCUAGAGUAUGGGAGGGGGAGAUGGAAUUAGUGGUGUAGGGGUAAAACCCGUAGAUAUCACUAGGAAUACCUAAAGCGAAGGCGAUCUCCUGGAACAUUACUGACGCUAAGGCGUGAAAGCGUGGGGAGCAAACAGGAUUAGAUACCCGGGUAGUC
rnacentral:rRNA from 1 species